UACAGAGGGUGCAAGCGUUACUCGGAAUUACUGGGCGUAAAGCGUGCGUAGACGGUUACAUAAGUCAGGCGUGAAAGCCCCGGGCUCAACCUGGGAAUUGCAUUUGAGACUGUGUAGCUAGGGUGCGGAAGAGGGAAGCGGAAUUUCCGGUGUAGCGGUGAAAUGCGUAGAUAUCGGAAGGAACACCAGUGGCGAAAGCGGCUUCCUGGUCCAGCACCGACGUUCAGGCACGAAAGCGUGGGGAGCAAACAGG
rnacentral:rRNA from 1 species